UGUGUUUAUAGUUAAAGUAAGCCAAUAACACUUGGAAAAAGUUAUUUAUUUCACAUUGUAUUUUCUUUGUAUCGUUACUUAACACAGCAAAUAAACAAUAUUAUCAUAACAAACAAAUUGGUAACAACACCUCUAAUUUUGUAUCAAUUAACCUUAAUUGCCUUUAUCACAAUCACAAGGUGUUGAAAACAUGUGACGCCAACUGUCACUAAUUUAGAACAUGUUAACCCACAACUUUUGUUGUCUUAUUGUGUUCUACCGAGAUGUGAUUUUCAUUAUAUUUCUGCAGAAGUGACCAGCGAUCAGGUUCGAGUGUUCCAGCAAUCUGUGUUCUAGUGAUCCAAGGUACAACAAUAUAUAUAACAUAGGAAGUUGGCAAAGACUGGGCAAUAAGGUCGAGCCAAGGGAGGUAUUCAAGCUAUCCAAGGACAAGCUAACAAAGUUCAACUGUAAAUAUGUAAUUUAGUUAUUUCAUGAAGGAAAGCUGACUGGUACCAAAAUUGCCCAUUUGAAAGCAAAGUACACAGAGUUUUUACAUGAAAUACUUAAAAAUACCAGGGAGAAUGAGACUUGUUUGUUGUCUCAGACAAAAGAAUGCUCUGCUGAACUUGAUCGUCAAUGUAUAGAGUUAGAGAAAGCUGAUAAUUUUACCAAUGGUUCAAACACAGAGGUUUCAAAGAUGAGACAACAACUGUUAAAGUAUAACAAUGACUUGAAACAAGCACAAGAAAGGCAGUACGAGCUAGAAUAUCAAAUAGACAAUAGAGGAGAAGAAAUUAAUGGAAAGAUAGUACUCUAGAAUGCCAAAAGCUGGAAAUCAAGAAGGAAAUCAAAGAGUUACAACAAGCAUGUGAUGAUAUCAAGAAAGAAAUUAUUCAGAGACAGCUAGAGGUUAAAACAUUAAAGAAGAUUUAAAUACAUUUAAUAGACAGACAAGUCAGCAUUGAUAGUAAAGAAUAGUAAAAACUCACUGAAAAAAUGGAAAAUCUUCAGGCUCAGAUUUGCCCCUGCUGGAUGAAGAUAAUGCUAUAUUGAGGUAUGGGCAUCAGUUUGUAGAUUAUCUUGGUAGAGGACUGGCAGAUAAUUGAAGCCAGGUAUGCUAUGUAUAUAUGCAAAUUGCAUCAUACUUAAAUUAAGUCUUUACAAAUGAUUUCAUUACAAAUGAUGACCUUUGAAAGUGAGACGUGGAAGGAAUAGCAUCUGCUAAAUUUUUGUUUUGACUCAUUGCUAGAGCAAACAAGCAUUUUGAUUAUGACCUAUGCACAAAGAUACGAG